rnacentral:piRNA from 1 species
UGCCAGUCCACUUAAGCAACAUUGCUAAU